UACGUAGGGUGCAAGCGUUGUCCGGAAUUAUUGGGCGUAAAGAGCUCGUAGGCGGCUUGUCGCGUCGACUGUGAAAACCCGCGGCUCAACUGCGGGCCUGCAGUGGGUACGGGCAGACUAGAGUGCGGUAGGGGAGACUGGAAUUCCUGGUGUAGCGGUGAAAUGCGCAGAUAUCAGGAGGAACACCGGUGGCGAAGGCGGGUCUCUGGGCCGUAACUGACGCUGAGGAGCGAAAGCGUGGGGAGCGAACAGG
rnacentral:rRNA from 1 species